rnacentral:rRNA from 1 species
UAAAAAUCCACCAUUGAUGGUGAUCCACCAUCCUACCUAAAAUGGGGCCAGGGGAUAUCCUGCAGCUAGACAAAGAGGCUCCGGGUAGAGAAGAGAAUAGGAUUUAGCUCGGAGGGCCGCGGUGAGGGCUGGGUUGGCGGCAGGGCAAGGUGGAGGGCCGGUAGCGCGGACGGUGGCGCGGGGUGGAGGGCCGGUAGGGCGGGUGGUGGCGCGUGGUGGAGGGCUGGUACCGCGGGCGACGGCGCGGGGUGGAGGGCCGGUACCGCGGGCGGCGGCGCGUGGUGGAGGACCAGUACCGCGGGCGGCGGCGCGGGGUGGAGGGCCGGUACAGCGGACGGAGACGCGGGGUGGAGGGCUGGUGCGCGGGCGGCGUCGCCGGGUGGAGGGGCCUGUGCGCGGGGUAGCGGCGUGAGGACGUUGGUGUAGAGCCACUGCGCGGGUUGGAAGAAGGAGGAGGACGGUGGAGGACAGCGUCGCGUGGUGCGGUUCGUGUAGGGGAUGGAGGAGGAGGAGAACGAACGAGGGUCACUCCGUGGCUCGCGGGCUGGUAGGGGAAGGUGGACGAGUCGUAGGGGUUACGCUGUCGCGUCUUUUGGCAUCGAGCCGUCAGGUGGGAGUACGAGGCGGUACCCAGAUAGUCUAUCGUUCUACGUCCCGUGGAGAGAGAGAGAGAGAGAGUUUACUAAACGGCAUACCAGGUUAAAACAUAGAAACUAAAACAAGAAAGAACUUCGAACCUACUCUUUUUGGAUUUUUUAACGUCUUACAAGGUGGCAUACGUGAAACAAGUACAAGGAGACACUUAACUAGUCACUAGUAGCGCGAGCUGACAGAGGGAGGACGGGGCAGACAGGUCCAAACCUGAGUGUGGUCAAGUUCAUCACUACAACGUUGUCCAACCCCUUGUUAAAACCUUAGUGCAUAUAUAUCACCAACGAACGUUUACUUAAACAGCAACGAUCAUGUAAAAACAUGGUCUACUAAGGUUCACUUAACAGCAAAUGAUGAUAGGUGCUACAAGGACGGUACAAAACAAAAGUAAACUUAAAUGAUACAUUGGUGACGAGUACCAUUGUAGUUUGUUAUUUAAAAUAUACGGACCGUACAAACUAGACUAAACUGAGGUACUGGUAUCACGUUUUGUUUUUAGAUGUUAUAGGAACGAUCGAACGUAGAGAUUAAAUCAUUUUAACAGAGAUUUCAAAACUAACGUAGCGGUAGAGGGCCACCCCGAGACGACGGCCUCGUGGGACCUGUAAGUUCCCUCCACUUCGGGUCCCACGAGCAGCCUCGGGCAUGACCUAGUGCAUGACCUUGGGACUGUACUACGUUAAUCAGUAAUCACAGCUGCUGACUAAAUAAAACAAAACAUGUUCAAUUUUGUAGUCACCGGUAUCCCUUCCUCUGGAAGGGUCUAGCACGGGGACCUGUUACGUUGUUGCUUAACCUGCGGCAAAGGCGGAGAGAAGGUCGUCGCGGCUACAGGGGAAGAUCGAGUCGUGGCCAAAGGGGCGGAGUACUAUGCCAGACGUCCACGAACACUCAACAGACGAUCCGCAACAAAUUCACAGUAUCUACUGCACAACAGAGGACCGUAGACCUAAUCGACGGCUGACGUUUAUUUUCCAACCUUGAAGGACAGAUAAAACCAACCACUUAUGCAUAAUUGUUUUAAAGAAAAGAUGUACCAUCAAGUUGAUAAAGUUUUUUGUUUAAGAGAUGUGCUAUCAAGUACACGACGAUCGUCUAUUCAAGUUUCUUGUUUGGCGGUGUUCAUGAAUUAAAGUUUAGUAAAAUAAAACAAAUUAAAGUUAGUCGAGAUGAUGUAUGCGAUAAGUUCAAGUCUCGAUUGCUGUAGUAGUCAAGCCUGUACUUUGGUUUAAAGUUUAAUUUUGGGGUUUUCCCAAUUGAAGAUAUUCAGGUACAAGGGUAUGGCUCCAGCAAGUUUUUUGGUCUAGUAUUUUCAGGUGACAAAGUAAAACGUCCAAGUCUUUCUUUUUAACUACAACAAAAACGGUAAAAGUUUUAACGAGAAUUUGUUUUUCAAGUUAUAAUUUGCAAAACACGGACAGGAAUGUAAUCGAUCAGAAAGUGGUACAGGUCUAUCACGGAUCCUCUUCACUUCUAUUCCAAAUAUAAAUACAAAUACUAUCAACUUUCUAAUCCACAUUUUUUAUAAAAGAACGUCCGAUGACUUACAAAGUUAAGCAACACACACUUAAAACAACAUCGUUUUAUAAAAGAGAAGGAGAUAUUUAGAGGGAGGACAGUGAUUAAAUAAAAGAGAGACUUAUGUUGUGCUCCCUCCGACCUCUCUGACGUCUGGCCACUGUUCUUGGUGAGAAAUCAAGACGAUAAGCACAUAACCUUCAUGUAUAGGAGAUAGGUCCGUCCUCCAUCUCAUGAACGAAUAUACAACUUCUAAAGACGACCUUUGCUCAAGUAAUAAAACGGGGAUCUGAACAUCUGCCUCACAACCGCUUCUGUCGAUACCUCUCCUUUGACAUAUACCACUUCUUAACCCUCGGUCUUCUCGUUUCGGCUAUCGUCCCGGCUCGUCUUCUACAGCGGUUACAACAACCCAGUACCCUCUUGUGGUUCAUCUUCCGCCAGGAACUGCACUUCGAGACUUACGGUCUCCAGAGCUGAGACUUAGACCUGGAACGGAUCAACGGAAAAAACACAAUCGAUCUAGUCAUGAUCACGAGUCAUCAUGCUGUUCAUCGUCAUGACUAGUCAUGCUGAAUGUGUUAUGAUCAUGACUAGUGAUGAUAAAAAUUACAAUUUUCAUUGUAGGUAUGACAUAAAUACUCAGUAUGACUGUUCCUACAGCAGAUGUUAAGAUUUGAAUAACAACUGAGCAUGAUCAUGACUACUUUACCCUUCGUUCACAGUGUACUUAGGAGUUAACUUACCCUUCCUUCCAA